CCCUUAGAUGUCCUGGGCCGCACGCGCGCUACACUGAUGCAUUCAACGAGUCUAAAACCUGCUCUGAUAGGGGUGGGUAAUCUUUUGAAUGUGCAUCGUGAUUGGGAUAGAUGAUUGCAAUUUUUCAUCUUCAACGAGGAAUGCCUAGUAAACGCAAGUCAUCAGCUUGCAUUGAUUACGUCCCCGCCCUUUGUACACACCGCCCGUCGCUCCUACCGAUUGAAUGAUCCGAUGAAUAUCAUGGAUUGAGGAUGCAAGUAGGUUCGCCUAUCUUCAUCUUCGAGAAGUGAAGUAAAUCUUAUCAUUUAGAGGAAGGAGAAGUCGUAACA
rnacentral:rRNA from 1 species